rnacentral:rRNA from 1 species
AUGAACGCUGGCGGCGUGCCUAAUACAUGCAAGUCGAGCGAACAGACGAGGAGCUUGCUCCUCUGACGUUAGCGGCGGACGGGUGAGUAACACGUGGAUAACCUACCUAUAAGACUGGGAUAACUUCGGGAAACCGGAGCUAAUACCGGAUAAUAUAUUAAACCGCAUGGUUCAAUAGUGAAAGACGGUUUUGCUGUCACUUAUAGAUGGAUCCGCGCCGCAUUAGCUAGUUGGUAAGGUAACGGCUUACCAAGGCGACGAUGCGUAGCCGACCUGAGAGGGUGAUCGGCCACACUGGAACUGAGACACGGUCCAGACUCCUACGGGAGGCAGCAGUAGGGAAUCUUCCGCAAUGGGCGAAAGCCUGACGGAGCAACGCCGCGUGAGUGAUGAAGGUCUUCGGAUCGUAAAACUCUGUUAUUAGGGAAGAACAAAUGUGUAAGUAACUAUGCACGUCUUGACGGUACCUAAUCAGAAAGCCACGGCUAACUACGUG